UUGCUUCUCAGCAUUUUGGCUAAGAUUAAGUAUAGUAUUUGUUCUUAUCAGUUUAAUAUAUGA
rnacentral:snRNA from 1 species